CACUUGGAGACUACGAGUUUGAUAGGCCGGAUGUGUAAGUCCAGUAAUGGAUUGAGCUUACCGGUACUAAUUGACCGUGCGGCUUGACCAUAAUAAA
rnacentral:rRNA from 1 species